AAGUCGUAACAAGGUUUCCGUAGGUGAACCUGCGGAAGGAUCAUUAUUGGAUGUUUGAUUUGGAUGUAGUGUGAACGGGAUUGUGUUUGGGGUGUUCCAAUCAUUCAGGUGAUUGAUUGCCCCACUUGUUAACCACCUUACCAUUUCUUGAUUACCUGGGAUCACUCCCAUGGGAUAAAACAACUUUUAGCAACGGAUCUCUAGGCUCUC
rnacentral:misc_RNA from 1 species